rnacentral:rRNA from 1 species
UGAGGAAUAUUGGUCAAUGGGGGCAACCCUGAACCAGCCAAGUCGCGUGAAGGAUGAGGGUCUUAUGGAUUGUAAACUUCUUUUACACGGGAAUAAAGUGGGGGACGUGUCCCCCUUUGCAUGUACCGUGUGAAUAAGGAUCGGCUAACUCCGUGCCAGCAGCCGCGGUAAUACGGAGGAUCCGAGCGUUAUCCGGAUUUAUUGGGUUUAAAGGGUGCGCAGGCGGGAUGUUAAGUCGGCGGUGAAAUUUUGCAGCUCAACUGUAAAAGUGCCUUCGAUACUGGCCUCCUUGAGUGUGGAUGAAGUAGGCGGAAUUUGUGGUGUAGCGGUGAAAUGCUUAGAUAUCACGAGGAACUCCGAUUGCGCAGGCAGCUUACUAAGCCACAACUGACGCUCAUGCACGAAGGCGUGGGGAUCAAACA